CUGGAACAGACAGUGGUGCCUUACAGGGGUAGUUCUGGCUGAGACUUUGGCUUCACACUUAAUUAGGUGUAAAUUUAGGUGACCACAGAAGCUGACCUGUCAGACAGCUCUGAGAAGAGCCAGUCCCUCCAGGAAGGCAGCUGAAGUUGUAGCUUUGUGCUAGUGACUCUGCCAGCAACAGCCAAAAAAAAAUGCAUGCCAGUCUUUGCUAACUGAAUCACUACAACAAAGGUAAAGCCACUGCAAACCUGGAUAACUGACACAGCAAAUUGAAAGGUCAUGAAACCCGGAAUGUAACUACAAAAAUUUGAAAAUCUAACAGGCAGACCUCGACAAUCACAUAGCCAAAUCACACACAACAGCCAAGGAAAAUGAACAAGAAUACCCUCUACAACCCAGUAGAGAGAGUAAUCUGUGAAGACCUGAGAAACAGAAUCUUCAGAAUAAAACCACCACUGCUGUCAGGAAUCAGUCUGUCCAUUUCCACCAACCUACAAACUUCUGUGUCACUGCCGUCACAGCCUGAGCCAAUGGAUAAAUGCAGAACGUCUGACGGAGCACCCUUGACCAAUAACACACUUUGUUUACAAAAUACUUCACAAUUGCUCUAAGAAAAUGGCUCAAAAAUAGCAUUUAACAUCCUCUGUGACACAUUUAAUAAUUCAGAUGACUCGUCUCUGCUUCUUGUUUGUUUCAGACAGCAACAAAGAACAUUUCUGAUGGGCAAUCUCAAAGAUCAGACUUGGUGCUGGUGCCUGACUCACAUCUACUGAUAACAGAGCACUGUUCCUGCUGCUGAGCCUGAGCCAGGAUUCCCAUCACAACUUUCUGUUUCUAAAGGUUCAUAACUUCACCAGAAGUUGACUCUGGGUUAGAGGUUAGCAAGGAUGUGGAACACUUAGCUGACAAAAUCUAGAAGAAAAAAAAAUCCGCCUGCAUGUGAGAUAAAAGUGUGAAAAUUAUCAGAAGGACAAUGGCUUCAGAUGGUUUCUGUCAAUGAGAAAUGUCAUGUAGGAAAGAACAAUGUCCUUGCACUUAAGGGCCAAGCCAGAACUGCAGUCCCUUUAUGCUCCACUUUGCUGUUUCCAGCACCCUUUGGACAUCAGCCACCCCAGAAAAAGAACUGGACACUUGGGUGAGAACAAUAGCUGAGCUGUUCAUGAAAAAUCUCCUGUGCCAGCCAGUCCCACUCAUCUGGCAGCUCCACACUGCCCUCCAGGGAGGGCCAGCACCAAACUUACCGUGCUUCCCUCAGUUUCCCCCUGGCAGGACAGAAUUCCUUGGCAGCAAACACACAAAGCAAGCAAGAGAAACACAGCAGACAUAAACACGAAAAUGUGUGUAUUUCAUGACAUAAAAAAGAGUAAAAAGUAAAUUAUAAAGAUUAAAUAAUCCAUAAAUUGUUCAUGCUUGGAUAACUGCUAUCCAAAUGCCUUUUUCAAGCGCCAUAUUAAUGGAAAUAAUGAACAAUUCAUUGUUAAUUAACAAUCUUAUUUAAUGACAAUAGCUCAUCAAUAUAUGCAGCAGUCUAUGUUCAAUGAACACAGAUAUUUCAUCAUGGAAGACAUGACUCCUGGGUUUAUGCAUGAUAUGAAAUGUGAGCUUUUUGCAGCUAUUUCAAAUCAUUUUGGGACACAAAAACUGUGGACAAGAUAUCUCCUGUUUAAAUGCAUUAUCCAUCCCUGGCUGCAGAGCAUGUUGUCUUGUGUUUAUCUGAAGGAACACUUCCAAAAUUCUUUGAGAAACUCAAUUGUUAUCAUUGUCUGAACUUAAAAAGACUACACCUUUGUAUAGAGUUCUGUCAAAAGAAAUCCUGCU